AAAAAACGUCACCCCGGCGGAGGCCGGGGUCUCAGGAGAUGAGCGCUGCCCGACUCUCCCGAGAUCCCGGCCUCCGCCGGGAUGACGCCUAUU
rnacentral:pre_miRNA from 1 species